CUUCGUAUUAUUGUAAUUUUUAGUUCUGCUCACGGAUAUCACAUAUGCCUUUAUCGAUUUGUUCAUGGCCAUAUUUCAGGACGUACAUGCUCAUCAGGGAUUAUUUGAGAACUAGAUCGGCUUCAUUGGAUUAAAGGAGAAGUUCGCAGGGACCAGCUGGGGAAAGAAAUACCAGUAAUUUACUGCAUAGAAGCUGAAAUUCUGGAUGGCACAAAUCUCAAAAUACAAAUUGGUGGAGAGGCAGCAAACAUUUCUCUUGAUCGGAGAUGAUGGGUUGAUACAAGACUUGACAUUUUCCCCAAGUGGAAAGAACAUACUUUUGUUGUUAAGAAUUGUCUUAAAGCAAUCUCUUGAUCCAACCUGGCUAUGAGAUCUUCCAUGUCUGUUUUUGCUGUAGAUAAACUCUCUUGCGCAGUUGUAAGAACUCUGUUCAACUUAUGCCCCUCUUCCGACGGAAGAGGGACAGCUAAGACCCUUCGAAAACUGUAACCUUGCGGCGGCAGAAUGUUGCGCGCCAGGAAAUUUGGGAUUGUACGUAGUGUUGUUUGCAAUGGGGCUCCUUUGCCACUCACCAUGCUGUUUA